rnacentral:lncRNA from 1 species
AGAUCAAAGUUUCUAUCAGCAAAUUUUUUAUCAGUUUUUUCCUGCUUUCUGCUGUCCAAAAUAAAAGAAAAAAACUGAGGCUCAGCAAUGGGCGAUUUGGCGCCAAAUCGCUAUCUUAAAACAUUUCUUUCCAAAUAAUCGCACACAUUUUUAUGAAUCAAAAACCAGCAAGGGGGUGGCAUUUUAACCAGCGAAAUGAAUGAACUACUAUAUCAAUCUAUUCAAGCAGUUUCUGUUGUGCAAAUGGGACUUUUUCUAUGUUCAAGCAUGUAUUAGGUAUGAAAAAAAUAUCAUGCCAAGGAAAUGUGGGCUUAAAUGAAAAACGAGAGAUGUGGAGUGAGCAUAGUACAGAGAACUACUUUGACCAAAUGGGAAACUGAAGUUAUACUAAGGAGGACAAAGAUAACACUCUGUAAAAAUGAUAAUUGAAGGAAAGAAAAGUGGAACAGGAAAAAAUUGAGAAGAAUAAAGGGAGUAGGUAAAGUUGAAAAGUCUGAAUCAGAAAAUAUUGGUUGUUUUAUUUUUUAUAAUCCUUAUUUCUGUUCAGCGCAAAAGGGUAUAUCAAACAGACCUGUGAAAUACUGAAGAAAGUACAAUGGUGAUAUUCCUAAUACAAUUAAAGACCUUUGUAAAUUACCAGGAGUCGGACCCAAAUGGCACACCUGCUAUGAGAACUGUGGCUGGGGCAUCGUUACAGGCAUUGGCGUUGAUACUCACGUUCAACGAAUUUCAAAACUGGCUUCCGUGGGUUCAGAAACCAACAAAAGAGCCCAGAACAGACACGACUUGCGCUUGAGGCCUGGCUUCCUCGGGAACUGUGGAGUGAGGUCAAUCAUUUUGCUCGUCGGAUUCGGUCAGUCGAUUGUCGACCGGUAGGACCUCAUUGAUCUGAGUGUUUGAUAUAGAACUCUGCAAGGUCGGAGAGCUACAAUGAGGGGCGAAAGAAGAAGAAGAAAAAAUCUGAUUAAUAUGAAUUCUGACGACUGUAUUGAUGGUCAAAUGAAAAAACGCAUACCUUUCUUUGCUAUGUUUCAAUUUCAUUAAAAGAACUGACCGAUAAUUUUCCUUGAAAUUUUUCCUCUUUUAUUCAAAAAAUAUUCCUGGAAAAUUUCAAAGAAAUAUUGUGGUCAGUUUUUUUCAAAAAAUAAAAUAUAACUAGAGAUUUGAAACAUUGCUCUGAAGUGAGCCACUUUUCUUUAUCUUUACCUGAUAUUUUUCAUUUGGUAAACGAACCUGUGAGGUUUGUUAUAAGCUCGUGAAAGUUUCUAAAUAGAAUUUUUUUUUUUGAAUUUCACAUUUGUCAAUGAAAGGAAGCUCGCAUUGAAAAUGAGAGAAAAAAGAAGAUAUUUCUCUCUAGUAUUUCCAUUUCAGCCUAGGUUAUAGCAUAUUAUUCAAUUUUAGUAUCUGUUGAGUACCCUAGAAAUUUCAAGUUUAAAUAUUUUCUUCUGUUAGUAUCAUUGUAAGCUUGCAAGUCACUCUCCUUUCGGAUCAUUGUAUAAAUGGAUUCACUAAAUUGUUUCUUUUCAUAUUUUUGCUAGCAAAAAUCAGGGGUUUUUUUUUUCUAAUCCGGAAAUGUUCUUUGUCCCUUGAGUAUUAGGAGGGGAAGCAUAUCAAAUACCAUAUAUUUACUUUUGCAUCACUGUAUUUUAAGAGAUGUGUGACAUUCUCGGAUGUAUUUUUGAAACUUUCUUCUUUGUGGUCAGUAAACCUGGCAUGUAUUUAAUCCCCUUACAUUUAUUAAUGGAUACGAGCUGUAAACUAUUUAAAUCAUCCUAUUUCUCUUAAUGAGUGAAUUCAAUAAAUACUGUUAAGCUUUCUGUUUUUCCAUUGUAUUUGAAAGAAGUUUUGAUUACACAUCAUCACUAAUUUGUUUUAAUAUGGUGGCAGGAUUAUCCAUGUUUUGUGAUUUUGUCAGCGCAUAAAAUAUGCUCCGACAAGAUUUCUUCUCAUUUGAUUCCUUAAUUGCUCAAUAUUACAAACUUUGUUUUUAUUUAACUGUAGUCAAAACAAUCCUAGACUUUUAAUACUCUCUUGUUCUUUUAAAUGUUUUACUUUUAUGUUUAAUUAGAUAUUAUACUUUCUUUCUACCUCAAAAGUGAUGAUGGUUUUUUUAUUUUUUCUCAUGUCCUCUCUUUGUUACUCUCCUUCUUUUUCUCUCGCUUUUAUUUGUCAUUUUUUGUUUUUAUUUUUUAAAUAUCAAGGCCAUGAAAUUGCCUCAUUUUGCAACACUCAUGU